rnacentral:tRNA from 1 species
GGGGGUGUAGCUCAGUGGUAGAGCACUUGCCUAGCAUGCACAAAACCCUGAGUUCAAUCCCUAGCACCACAA